GACGAACGCUGGCGGCGUGCUUAACACAUGCAAGUCGAACGGAAAGGCCCUGCUCUUGUGGGGUGCUCGAGUGGCGAACGGGUGAGUAACACGUGAGUAACCUGACCUUGACUUUGGGAUAACUUCAGGAAACUGGGGCUAAUACCGGAUAGGAGCUCCUGCGGCAUGGUGGGGGUUGGAAAGUUUCGGCGGUUGGGGAUGGACUCGCGGCUCAUCAGCUUGUUGGUGGGGUAGUGGCUUACCAAGGCUUUGACGGGUAGCCGGCCUGAGAGGGUGACCGGCCACAUUGGGACUGAGAUACGGCCCAGACUCCUACGGGAGGCAGCAGUGGGGAAUAUUGCACAAUGGGCGGAAGCCUGAUGCAGCAGCGCCGCGUGCGGGAUGACGGCCUUCGGGUCGUAAACCGCUUUCGCCUGUGACGAAGCGUGAGUGACGGUAAUGGGUAAAGAAGCACCGGCUAACUACGUG
rnacentral:rRNA from 1 species